rnacentral:rRNA from 1 species
ACUCCUACGGGAGGCAGCAGUGGGGAAUUUUGGACAAUGGGCGAAAGCCUGAUCCAGCAAUGCCGCGUGUGUGAAGAAGGCCUUCGGGUUGUAAAGCACUUUUGUCCGGAAAGAAAUGUCUUGGUUCUAAUAUAGCCGGGGGAUGACGGUACC